rnacentral:rRNA from 1 species
UGGGGAAUAUUGCGCAAUGGGGGAAACCCUGACGCAGCGACGCCGUGUGAGGGAAGAAGGCUUUCGGGUCGUAAACCUCUGUCGGGAGGGAAGAACCUUCCAGGUCUGAACAAGCCCUGGAACUGACGGUACCUCCAAAGGAAGCACCGGCUAACUCCGUGCCAGCAGCCGCGGUAAUACGGAGGGUGCAAGCGUUAAUCGGAAUCACUGGGCGUAAAGCGCGCGUAGGCCGCCUUUUAAGUCGGACGUGAAAGCCCUCGGCUCAACCGAGGAACUGCGUUCGAAACUGGGAGGCUUGAGUCCUGGAGAGGGUGGCGGAAUUCCGGGUGUAGGAGUGAAAUCCGUAGAUAUCCGGAGGAACACCGGUGGCGAAGGCGGCCACCUGGACAGGUACUGACGCUGAGGCGCGAAAGCGUGGGGAGCAAACAG